rnacentral:rRNA from 1 species
GAUGAACGCUGGCGGCGUGCCUAAUACAUGCAAGUCGAGCGGUAAGGUUCUGCACUUAGUAUUUGACCGGAUCAAGUCCACGGUAAGCGAUUACCAGGGAAACUGACUGAAGCAAGGAAACUCCAAGGCUGGAGAAUCCGAGUCGAAUCCUGGGUGUAGAAUACACGAGCGGCGGACGGCUGAGUAACACGUAGGAACGUACCCAACGUAG